AACGCGAAGAACCUUACCAGGGUUUGACAUCCUGCGAAUCCCUUGGAAACGAGGGAGUGCCUUCGGGAGCGCAGUGACAGGUGGUGCAUGGCUGUCGUCAGCUCGUGUCGUGAGAUGUUGGGUUAAGUCCCGCAACGAGCGCAACCCACGUCGUUAGUUGCCAGCAUUCAGUUGGGCACUCUAGCGAGACCGCCGGUGAUAAACCGGAGGAAGGUGUGGAUGACGUCAGGUCAUCAUGCCCCUUACAUCCUGGGCUACACACGUACUACAAUGCUACGGACAAAGGGCAGCAAGCUCGCGAGAGUUAGCAAAUCCCAUAAACCGUGGCUCAGUUCAGAUCGUAGGCUGCAACUCGCCUACGUGAAGGAGGAAUCGCUAGUAAUCGCAGGUCAGCAUACUGCGGUGAAUACGUUCCCGGGUCUUGUACACACCG
rnacentral:rRNA from 1 species